UACGUAGGGUGCGAGCGUUAAUCGGAAUUACUGGGCGUAAAGCGUGCGCAGGCGGUUCGUUGUGUCGGCGGUGAAAGCCCCGGGCUUAACCUGGGAAUGGCAUUGAAUACUACUUAACUGGAGGUUUGGAGGGGGGACUGGAAUUCUUGGUGUAGCAGUGAAAUGCGUAGAUAUCAAGAGGAACACCAGUGGCGAAGGCGAGUCCCUGGACAACACCUGACACUGAGGCACGAAAGCUAGGGGAGCAAACAGG
rnacentral:rRNA from 1 species